AUUGAACGCUGGCGGAAUGCUUUACACAUGCAAGUCGAACGGUAGAGGGGGCAACCCCUCGAGAGUGGCGAACGGGUGGGUAAUAUAUCGGAACGUGCCCAGUCGUGGGGGAUAACGUAGCGAAAGUUACGCUAAUACCGCAUACGAUCUAAGGAUGAAAGCGGGGGAUCGCAAGACCUCGCGCGAUUGGAGCGGCCGAUGUCAGAUUAGGUAGUUGGUGGGGUAAAGGCUCACCAAGCCAACGAUCUGUAGCCGGUCGGAGAGGACGACCAGCCACACUCGAACGGAGCCACGGUCCAGACUCCUACGGGAGUCAGCAGUGGGGAAUUUUGGACAAUGGACGCAAGUCUGAUCCAGCCAUUCCGCGUGCAGUAUGAAGGCCCUCGGGUUGUAAACUGCUUUAGUACGGAACGAAAAGGUCUCUCUUAAUACGGGGGACUCAUGACGGUACCGUAAGAAUAAGCACCGGCUAACUACGUGCCAGCAGCCGCAGUAACAC
rnacentral:rRNA from 1 species